UAAAACUAGCGAUUGAGACCAUAAACUCAUUAUGAAAAUGUUUACUGAGGUAAUAAAUCAAGUAAGAAAUAGGUCACUUUCUCAUAGACUUCUACAGAAACCGAUCUCCUUUUGCAACCACACAUGUCGCCCUCUGUUGGAAUUCAGAUACAAUGCAGGUUUAAGGCACUUCGGCAUUUGCAGGACUUCGCCGAACCGGAUGCGUUGUCCAUUAAUAUUAAAAGUCUAUGUAUGCAACACAGACACA